ACACAUGCAAGUCGAGCGGAAACGAUCCUAGCUUGCUAGGAGGCGUCGAGCGGCGGACGGGUGAGUAAUGCAUAGGAAUCUGCCCGGUAGUGGGGGAUAACCUGAGGAAACUCAGGCUAAUACCGCAUACGUCCUACGGGAGAAAGCAGGGGCUCUUCGGACCUUGCGCUAUCGGAUGAGCUUAUGUCGGAUUAGCUGGUUGGUGAGGUAACGGCUCACCAAGGCGACGAUCCGUAGCUGGUCUGAGAGGAUGAUCAGCCACAUCGGGACUGAGACACGGCCCGAACUCCUACGGGAGGCAGCAGUGGGGAAUAUUGGACAAUGGGGGCAACCCUGAUCCAGCCAUGCCGCGUGUGUGAAGAAGGCCCUCGGGUUGUAAAGCACUUUCAGUGAGGAAGAAGGCUUGUCGGUUAAUACCCGGCAAGAAAGACAUCACUCACAGAAGAAGCACCGGCUAACUCCGUGCCAGCAGCCGCGGUAAUACGGAGGGUGCGAGCGUUAAUCGGAAUUACUGGGCGUAAAGCGUGCGUAGGCGGCUUGAUAAGCCGGUUGUGAAAGCCCCGGGCUCAACCUGGGAACGGCAUCCGGAACUGUCAGGCUAGAGUGCAGGAGAGGAAGGUAGAAUUCCCGGUGUAGCGGUGAAAUGCGUAGAGAUCGGGAGGAAUACCAGUGGCGAAGGCGGCCUUCUGGACUGACACUGACGCUGAGGUACGAAAGCGUGGGUAGCAAACAGGAUUAGAUACCCUGGUAGUCCACGCCGUAAACGAU
rnacentral:rRNA from 1 species